GUGGGGAAUAUUGGACAAUGGGGGGAACCCUGAUCCAGCCAUGCCGCGUGUGUGAAGAAGGCCUUUUGGUUGUAAAGCACUUUAAGCGAGGAGGAGGCUACCGAGAUUAAUACUCUUGGAUAGUGGACGUUACUCGCAGAAUAAGCACCGGCUAACUCUGUGCCAGCAGCCGCGGUAAUACAGAGGGUGCAAGCGUUAAUCGGAUUUACUGGGCGUAAAGCGCGCGUAGGUGGCCAAGUAAGUCAAAUGUGAAAUCCCCGAGCUUAACUUGGGAAUUGCAUUCGAUACUGGUUGGCUAGAGUAUGGGAGAGGAUGGUAGAAUUCCAGGUGUAGCGGUGAAAUGCGUAGAGAUCUGGAGGAAUACCGAUGGCGAAGGCAGCCAUCUGGCCUAAUACUGACACUGAGGUGCGAAAGCAUGGGGAGCAAACAGGAUUAGAAACCCGAGUAGUCC
rnacentral:rRNA from 1 species